rnacentral:rRNA from 1 species
AGUGAACGCUGGCGGUAUGCCUAACACAUGCAAGUCGAACGGCAGCACAGUGACAGCUUGCUCUUAGGGGCGCCGAGUGGCGGACGGUUCAGGAAGACAUGGGAAUCCACUUUGUCUUGGGGGAUAACAUAGGGACACUUACCCCAAUCCUGCAUACGACCUACGGGGGUAAGCACGAGAUCUUCGGCCCUUGCGCUAUUGAAUGAGCCGAUGUCGGAUUAGCUAGUUGGCGGGGUAGAGGCACACCAAGGCGACGAUGGGUAGCUGGUCUGAGCGGAUGAUCAGCCACACUGGCACUGAGACACGGCCCAGACUCCUACGGGAGGCAGCAGUGGGGAAUCUUGGACAAUGGGGGCAAGCCUGAUCCAGCCAUACCGCGUGAGUGAAGAAGGCCUUCGGGUUGUAAAGCGCUUUUGGUGGGAAAGAAAAGCAGCGCUUUAACACCGCGUGGUAAUGACGGUACCCGAAGAAUAAGCACCGGCUAACUUCGUG